rfam:Gossypium hirsutum cultivar TM-1 unplaced genomic scaffold scaffold1088.1, whole genome shotgun sequence
UGUUAAAAUUUUUAUCCAUUUCUACUAUCAAAAGCUAAUGUGGUUGACGAAAUAACCAGACAAUUACACGUGGUGUGCCGCGUAUAUCUUAUGCCGACGUACAAAAACCAAUUUUUAACAGUAAAAAUAAAUUAAAUUUUUACUA